AGAAUUUAAAAUUGAAAGUAUUGUUUACCCUCAAAUAAAAACCCUAACCAUAAAAUAUAUACUCCCUUUCUUCUCCACCCACUCAAUCCUGUAUCUCCUCCAGAUCCUCAAAAUCAUCGCUUUUGCAUCAUCUCCUUCCCUCUUUGUCUCUUCCCCACUCAAGCCAAUCUCUCCCCUUUCCAUUCCACCAGCCCGGUACAUGCUUUCUUCCCGAUCUCUACCCCUCUCCUCUUUCCACCUCCAAUUUUGGAAUUAGUUUUAUAUUUCUCUCAUUUGGCACUUUGGUUUGUAAGGACAAAUCCCUAUUCAUUUUUUGAUAGUUAUACCAUUGGAUAAUUGCAGAUUUUGGUCACUACAUGCUAUUAUUUUUCGCCGAAUCACUGCGUGCUCUUCUUUCCUUGGAGCUCUGUUUUGCAUGCUCAAUGCUUGGAUUUAUCUUCGUUUCUGUAGUUUCAUUAUGUUAGCUGCACCUUUUUUUUCUUUUCCAUAUUACUAUUGCCUGCUUUAAUACCCUCUAAUUAUAGAGCAAAAAUGAGUUAUACACCACGAAACAUGAGAUUCCUACAUUGUACCACUUG
rnacentral:misc_RNA from 1 species